rnacentral:misc_RNA from 1 species
GAUGAAGAACGUAGCGAACGUGCGAAACGUAAUGUGAAUUGCAGAAUUCAGUGAAUCAUCGAAUCUUUGAACGCAUCUUGCGCUCCUUGGUAUUCCGAGGAGCAUGCCUGUUUGAGUGUCGUGAAAUACUCUCAAUUUCAAUCUUUUUGUUUGAAAUUGGAUUUGGAUGUUGUUGUGGAUCUUGCUACGACUCAUCCUAAAUGCAUUAGCGAUCUGCCUUGAUCACACACAAUGUGAUAAGAUGAGCAUUGUUAUAAUCAAGUCAUGACUGCUUCUAACCGUCCCUUUGGGACAAACGUCUUAUGUCGUUUGACCUCAAAUCAGGUAGGACUACCCGCUGAACUUAAGCAUACCAAUAAGCGGAGGA